GGCCACCUCAAAUAAGAAAAGGUGGUAGAGUUCCAAACUGACCCCAAGAAGUUCGAAGGCUGCCUCUCGGCUUAUGUUGGUAAUCUCUUAUGGAACGUCAUUGAAAAUGACUUGCGAGAUUUCUUCAGCUCAUCGAAGAUUGCAUUAGUAAGGUUCGUCAUUGACAAAAGAACUGGGGGUUCCCAUGGCUUUUGUCAUGUUGAUUUUCAAGACGAUGAGGCGCUCGAGAUAGCUAUUGUGUUGGAUCAGUCCAAACUGGAGGGUAAGCCUAUCAAAGUCACGUAUUCAGUCAGCAACUGGGGCUGAAGAGCGAAGAGUGUCCCAUUGCCAGUGGUGCGGUACUUCUUUGCAGAAUUGCAGUGCAGGACAUGUGAGGCCCCAUGUGGUGGAAGCCUGGGUCGGUUCCGGCUCCGUCUCCAACAUACAUUGUAGCUGUGAGCUAUUUUACCUCUCCUCUUGAAAUGAUCAUGAGCACAUGAAACUAUUGUACGCUAUUUUACUUCGAGAAAAGCUCCCAUCCCAGGGCGGUCUCUGUGGCAUCACCAUGAAGAACUCCCAUCUGUGUCCGCGCCACGCUAUCCAAGGAAGGCGAUUCAGACGCCCCGGAUCGACGCUCUCCAGGGAACAGUAAGUCAGCCUAACCACUCUCUGUCAACCCCACAAUCCAAUCCAUCGGGAACUACGAGAAGGUCAGCCAAAUUCUAUAAAAAAAGUCGUCUACUGAGUUUUGGCAGCAUUCAUGAGUAGCCAUAUAAUGUGGAGUUACGACGUCAAUGAGCCCUGCCUGGACAUCCAUGCAACAUAGAGGUUACCCUGGAGGCUUUCCUCUUCUUGGACCUACUGAAGCAGGUAAAGGUGUUUUUUCUAGAACAACUUUUGAUCUUCCCAUCAGUGAGGUCAGUCGUCCUCUACAAAUUUUAGUUUCUAUAGCGUACUCUAUUCUUCUGUACGACAUAUAUGUUCCAGACUGGGAGUACCAGAUAGCAGGCCCUGGUUCCAGUUCCAUAGAGAAGUCGUUCUCUGUGAAAUGCAGAGUGAGAGGAGACACCGGACCAGCUUGCAACGCUAUUAGAAUGGUCGACCAUACGAUCCUAGGGAUCGACCACCUCUAUAGACGGUCAGUUUAUGCGUGCACGAAGGUUUGAUAUGGGAUGCGAUGCGACACGGACAUCUCAGUUUUCUGCUCCCCUGUCACAAAGCUCAAAUAAGAAACUACAGCAGGGAUGCAAUAUAGAUUAUCCAGAGAAUGGGUCUCUUCCACCUGACGCUCCAUCGUGGUGCCAGGCGCCAUUUGAUCCUGAAGGCCUCCUCAGCUCCGUUAUGGCGAUUGUCACUUGCUUGACCGGGCUCCAGUUUGGGCAUGUAAUUAUACAUUUCGAGAGCAUCGAGGAAGAAUCACCAGUUGGUUGGUCCCUUCCUUCAGCAUGAGCUACACUCUGGCUACUGCAGAGCACCGUGCUAAAUUUUGUUCUAGCCUUCGUAAUGGACUUCGUCGGAAUGCGAAUGAAUAAACCACUAUACACGAUGAGCUACACUCUGGCUACUGCUGGCGCUGUGGGUCUUCUCUUCGCUGGAAUCUAUGCUCUUGUUGGCCCCUCUUGAACCUGAGAACAUGCAUAUGAAGUUUUGUUAUAGUUAUCUAACCAUUUUCUGAUUCUAUGUUCUCUCUACUGUUUGACAACAACACAUCUUUUAUAAAUUAAUUAUUAAACAAAA